GCAGGCAGGGUGCAGAGUGGUCCAUAAAGCCAGAGUCAAAAGCAGCAGGUUAUAGCUUUGGACCUAAAAGCCUGUGCAGAGCUGUGUCUGCAGAGUAACUUGCUCAGCUGAGGCUGCCUCAGGUUUAUGAAAUAUGAGUCCUUCACUCUUGCUGGUCAUCCUUUGCUUGGGAGUAGCUGCAGCUGCCCCCACAGUUCCAACCGGCUUAGAUGCCCAACAGCAGGAGACUGCAAACUACAAAAACCUUCAUGAUCUGGUUGGUAAUGCAGAAGGGUCAGUGAGCGAACUGUCAGAGGAGCAUAAGAAAAUGAUUAUGCAGCGCAUCCAGAAAUAUAUGGAAGAGAAUGGAAGCAACAACGUGGAAAUGCUUUCCAUCAUUGGCUCGCUCUUUGGAGGACUCAUACAUGGUGGUGAGGAUAUUAUAAAAGGUCUUCUCAAAGGCUUGUUUCCAGGGAAAAACAAUUUAAAUCUUCGUUCCGAAUUUGUGCCUUCCUGAGAGAAAGACCAUGUGACUCCUGUGUGGAGCCAGGAAAUCCCACCUCAGCCCACCACAUAUUACAGUGGACCAAAUCCUGAAACUCAGAAAAUAUGAAGAGAAAAACUGGCAAAAUUCAAAUAAUUGGUUUUCUUAUUAGUAAUAGAAUAAUGCCAGUUUCUUUGUUUAGAGAAAGGUACCAAAGUAAUCUGUUAAUGAUGGGAACUUGAGAAUUCACUGCCCUGAGUUUGCAACAUUCUGCAUUUUAAAAUUCUUUUGAAUAAAGGUUGAUUU